rnacentral:lncRNA from 1 species
UCGAACACAAGCACACACGCACACCCAUUCACUCAUUCCCUUGCACACACUUCACUUGCACACGUCUCAUUUCAUCCUCUACACUUACACCCAUUUCACACACUCUUCAUUCAAUUGGAUUGGAUUCUACAUUGAGGUGCCACAUUUCAUUUAACAAGAAAAUUGGAACUACAAGGUAUGUUCUUCUAAUCCCUAAUUUUGAGCUUCAUUUUCCGGUUAUCAUUCAUUGUGUUGGCAUUAGUUAGAAGGAAUAAGGUAGUUUGACAUGGUGUUGUGAAUUGGGGGCAAUUUCAUGGUGGUGUUUUGUAAGAAAUAGGAAGUAAUUCACAUUGCACACCAAGUGUUCGACGAAAUGCCACAUUAACGCAUGUUUUGAUUUUUUGGGCUUUUC